ACUUCAGGAGAAAUAGCACUUCCUACAGGAGACUUGCCUCUUCUACCUCACCAUGUUAAGCCCCUCUGACAUGCGCUCCCAUAUACCUGCCUGUGACCAAAUUAUUGUCUGCAUCCCCAAAGAGGCUACAAGCUCCAUGGAGAUUACCACCACUUGACCAUUUGGCAACUGAAUAACUUUGACCAUUAGAUGCUUCUCCCGUUACUGAACUGAACUGCCUUUCUGUUCUUGCCAUUUGCAGGAAUGUGUGUUUUGUUAAGUACAAGUCACAAGACUGGCUCAAUCCUUAAUGCAUCCAUCUGUUGGUUUCCCCAGUAUAGUUUAGUCAGUAAACAGAAUUCCAUUUCCAGAUUGGAAAAUCUAUGUUUUGUGGGCUGAAUUGUGUAUUCCCCCACAAAUCCUUACAUUGAAUCCCUACCACCUAAUACCUGAGAAUGUAGCUCUAUUUGAAGUUAGAGCCUUUAAAGAGGUGAUUAAGUUAAAAUAAGACCAUGCGGACUGUAAUCCAAUCUUGCUAGUGUCCUUAUAAGAAGAGGAAAUUUGGACACACACACAGACACACAUUCACAGAGAAAAAGCCGUGUGAGGACGCAGCGAGAAAGUGACCAUCUGAAAGCCAAGGAGAGAGGCCUGAAGAAACCAAACCUUCCAAAACCUUGAUCUUGGACUUCCAGCCUCAGGAAUUGUGAGACAAUAAAUUUCUGUUGUUUAAGCCA